rnacentral:lncRNA from 1 species
CUUCAUAUGUAUUUGCAUCUUUUUUUUGAUAAAAAUAUGAAUAGUAUAGGAUCUUGCUCAGAAAAAAUAAAAAAAGGAGAUACUAAUACAACUGUUAAUGAAUUUUAUACAUCUAAUAUUGAUAAAAUACAAAAUUUAAUAUUUAGUGAUAAAACCGGUAAUGUUGGAAAUGUUAAUAAUAAUUCUAGUGAUAAUAAUACUAAACAACUGGUAGGGAAUAUUCGAAAUAUGAAUAAUGAAAUGGUGGAAACAUAUAAAAACAAACAAGAGUAUAUAAAAAAUAUAAAUAAAUAUAAAAAUGUAAUAAAUAAUAUAGAUAACUAUAACAGUAUAAACAAUGUGUGUAAAAAUAUUAAACAAAAUAAUAUGAACGAAUCAGAAAAUUUAAAUGUAAAAUCUGUUACUGACGUAACGGAUAGUGCAAGUGGAACUGGUGCGGAUGGAUAUGAUACAAAUGUAAAUGGCAGUGGUAUUGAUACUAGUACUGGUACUGGUACGAGCAUAGUGAACGCUGUUAAGGGUGUGACUAAUGUUGAUACGAAUGUGUCUGGUACAGUGGGGACUAAUAUAAAUACAAAAGAAGAUCUAGAUGAUAUUAAUGCCAGGAUUGUUGGUGUGCACUAUGAUAGAAAACAAUACCGAUGGAAAGCAACAUGGUAUACUUCUCAUGGAAGAAGGUGCGCUAAAUAUUAUCCAAUAAAACAGUAUGGAUAUAUAGAAGCAAAAAAAAUGGCAAUAGAAUGUAGAAAAGCAUACAAUUUAUAUAAGAGAUUAAAAAAGAGCGCAGAAGAUGGUACUACCGUUAGUGGUGGUGGUGGUGGUGGUGGUACAUCUGUCAAUAACAACAAUGACGAAGACGAAAUAGAUUUUAACAAUAGUAUUUUUCCAAAAAAAUAUUAUAUAACUUUAUUUGAAAAUGAUGAAAAAAAAGAUGGAUAUUACUAUGAUGCUAAAAAAACUAGAAAAGGUAUUAACAAAAAAGUUGUAAGUGUAAAUAAUAAUGAAAAACAAAGAAGACAUUAUAAUGAAGCACUUAAAAAAAUUAAUAAUAUAAAAUAUAGUGAUAGUAAAAAAACACGUGAAAAUACAAACGAAACGAAUGACCUAAAUGUUAAUAAUAUACCACGACAAUCAACUCGUUCUAGUUCUAACAAAACAGAUGUUAUUUUAAAUAAAAAAAAAAAAAGUGAUAAUAAUGGUUUAGCAAAUAAAACAAAUGUAGCAACAUCUCCUCCAGUUAAUACAGAACAAAUCCACAAUUUUUAUAACUCAAAUAAAUAUACACAUAAUUAUAAUAACAAUGAUAAAAAUGAAUGGAAACAUGAACAAAAUUAUUAUAGAAAAAUGCCUUGUUAUAAAUAUGAAAAUUAUGGAUUUUGUAAUAAUUCAUGUUGUUCUACAAUUGAUAGUGACUUAAAUAUCGGUACAAAAAAUGUAAACUUUAUUUUUAACGAUAUUACCUAUGCAAAAACGGGUACAACAACGGGUACAACAACGGGUACAACAACAGGUACAAAUACAUACACAGAUACAUACACAGAUACAGGAUUAGAAACAGGAUUAGAAACAGGAUUAGAAACAGGAUUAGANNNNNNNNNNUAGAAACAGGAUUAGAAACAGGAUUAGAAACAGGAUUAGAAACAGGAACAGACACAGGAACAGACGGUAAUACAAACAGUACUCCUUCCUCCUUACUAUCACUAUACUAUUUAUCAGAAAAUAUACUAAAAUUUCAAAAAGGAACUAUAAAAUGUAUACUACAAGAUCUUAGAGAUAAUUGUUUAUAUAACUUUGCAUAUGAUAUUAAAAAUAGAACAUUUCAAGAAUAUUAUAUGGCUAUCCAUUAUUUAAAUAGAUAUGUUGAUGGUUCCAAUUGCCAUGAUGAUAUUUUUUUUUUACUCAAAAUAUUAGCCCAAAAUUUAGAAAUAAAAAAAAUACCUAGCUUAUAUAAUGAAGAAGA